CUUCUCAAAAUGACUCUUUCACUGCUGCUCUCACUCCCCCUCACCGUCUGUGCUAUGUGUACAUCUGAGUGCUUAUUCGCUGUUUUUUUCACCCCUCCCUUUUGGUUCCCAGAGACCAGCUGUGUCAGGGCCUCUUAUUUUUGUCUUCAGUCGCUGCGGAGGCGAGGCUCCUUCCAAAACGAGCAUUGGGUAGUAUACUAUAUGUCUUUAUGUCCAUCUGGUGUCUUGACAGCUGAUACCUGUAUUUAUUUAACAUUUUCAGACUGAGAGUUUUUCUCAUUUAUUCUCAUAUUCAUGAGAGUUGGUUAAAAAAAAGAAAAGAAAAAGAAACAAUGAUCCAUUCAUGUUGUCUACUCCUUGGGAAAGAGGCCUAAAUGCCCAAAAAAUACUGGAUUAUUUCAGCUAACCAAAUGCUGGGUUAUGUUCUUCCCAUGAUGUGUUGAUUUUGGGUUAAUAUUGUGCUGGGUGGCGGCAUGGUGGACGACUGGUUAGAGCGUCAGCCUCACAGUUCUGAGGACCCGGGUUCAAUCCUGUGUGGAGUUUGCAUGUUCUCCCCGUGCUUGCGUGGGUUUUCUCCGGGAACUCCGGUUUCCUCCCACAUCCCAAAAACAUGCAUUAAUUGAAGACUCAAAAUUGCCCGUAGGUGUGACUGUGAGUGCGAAUGCUUGUUUGUUUGUUUGUGCCCUGCGAUUGGCUGGCAACCAGUUCAGGGUGUACCCCGCCUCCUGCCCGAUGAUAGCUGGGAUAGGCUCCAGCACGCCCGCGACCCUAGUGAGGAGAAGCGGCUCAGAAAAUGGAUGGAUGGAUUGUUCUGGGUCAAAUCUCUCAAUCCAAGAUGGGUUGUUUUAUCUGCUCAACCGCUUGGUCUGGAAAUGUUUUACCCAUUAUGGAUUCAUAUUUUGACUUUAUACCAGAACUUUUCAUCCCAUCUGACCACAUGUCAUCACAUCACGCUCCCUGUCGGGCCUUUGCCACCUUUCACUUUACCGAUAUUUUUUUUCUGUCCGCCAUAUUGGAAAGUGAAGACGCUGGAUGUUCUUGGCUUUCACGAAAACUCAAACAAGGAAAUGGUGACGAUAAACACAAGGACGAGGAACAUAAUCACAGAAGCCAAGCCUAUCAGCGCCUCCAUUUGAGUGUUGCUCUCAGCAGCUAAAAGGACAGGAAAGCAUAAUGUUGGGGGUUUCAAUAUCCCGGUCAUAAUCCCAGCGGAAGCCAAUCGAAGGAGAUGAGCAGCAGUUUGUUCCUCCUGGGAGACCCACUCAAGACAGACUGCUGCCCAGAAACAGAAUCCCAUGUUGGAGCAGGAGUGCAAGGUGGAUAAAAAAUGCAGCAAGAAACUAAGCAAAGCGACAGUUUUACUAAUCGGUUUGACAUUUU